rnacentral:rRNA from 1 species
AUUGAACGCUGGCGGCAGGCUUAACACAUGCAAGUCGAGCGGGGGAAGGUAGCUUGCUACCGGACCUAGCGGCGGACGGGUGAGUAAUGCUUAGGAAUCUGCCUAUUAGUGGGGGACAACAUCUCGAAAGGGAUGCUAAUACCGCAUACGUCCUACGGGAGAAAGCAGAGGAUCUUCGGACCUUGCGCUAAUAGAUGAGCCUAAGUCGGAUUAGCUAGUUGGUGGGGUAAAGGCCUACCAAGGCGACGAUCUGUAGCGGGUCUGAGAGGAUGAUCCGCCACAGUGGGACUGAGACACGGCCCAGACUCCUACGGGAGGCAGCAGUGGGGAAUAUUGGACAAUGGGGGGAACCCUGAUCCAGCCAUGCCGCGUGCGUGAAGAAGGCCUUAUGGUUGUAAAGCACUUUAAGCGAGGAGGAGGCUACUCUAGUUAAUACCUAGGGAUAGUGGACGUUACUCGCAGAAUAAGCACCGGCUAACUCUGUGCCAGCCGCCGCCGUAA